rnacentral:lncRNA from 1 species
GCGAGGAGGGCGGGGGGAGCACUGAGGAUGUUACAGUCACUUCUCAUUUCACUAAUUUAGCAGAAGGGGAGGGGAGGAGAGAGAGAGAGAGAGAGAGAGAGGUGGAGUGAGCUUGGCGGUGCAUUGGUGAGCAAGGGUGAACCGCGAGGCAGGCGGACUGUCGGAGCCUCUGCAGUAUCUGACCUGAAAAAAAAAAAAAAACAAAAGCCGCUACCGCUCCUCCUGCAUGCUGCUCAAAAAACCUACAACACCCAAACGCACCGGCCCGGGCGGGUUUUUCCUCCUCCAGGUGUGUGAGGAGGGAAAAAAAUCCUCCACCGUCGAUGCAGCUCAGCCGUCAUUCAUCUCGGAGACAUCACGGAGAAAUCUGCCGCUGGUGAUUUAAGACACAGUGUCGCGGACACAGUCCUCACGGAGAAAGCCCCGGAGAGCUAAAGACGGACGCAGCGGCAGAGCUUUGUCUGGGGGUUCAUUUUCUCGAUUUUUCCGCCUGCUGAUCUUGCGCUCCGCGCCGGAGCUCGGUGUUUGCGCGGGCGGCCGCACAGCUACUGAAAAGGCGGCGGGAGACGUGGUGAAGCCGGAGAGAAGCGGCGCGGUGCUGCGGCCACACGGGGCAGGUUGUUGGGAGGGCUGGUAUCGCGGCGGCGUGAUAUCCGAGAGACGAGAGGGGGAGUUUUUACCGCCCACCUCCACCAAUGGGUUAAAAGCGGUUUGUUCUUCGGAGCAGCCGUGCAGAGCCUCGGAGGGUCCGCUCACACCUGCUCUCACCUGCCCACCCCGAGCUGCAGGGGCUGUAUGAUGUAGGAGCCACCUGCCCCCUCACCUCUGCUCUGCCUCUCUCAAUCGCCAUCCCUGAAACAAGCCCCCUCCACCCAUAGUGCAGCAGUGUCUCUGCCCCCCACCCAGCGUCUCACCAUGCCGGCAGGGAUGAAACCGCUGGAGAAGUUCCUGAAGAAGCAGACCACGGCGCUGACCCGGGCUGGGGGCUUCGUUGGCGGGGUGGCCGACAAGGCCAGCGGGGGGACCGGGGCGUCCCGCCGCAGGGCCAGUCUGUCCCGGGUCGUACCUUUCUUCAGGGAGACCUCACCAGAGAGCGGCCAGGCUCGGGAGGUAUUCAGCCCUGACAGUGAGGACCCACCUUCCUGGCCCUCAGCUACAGGGACCGGCCUAGUCACGGUGCCCAGCAGCGCUAAUGGUUCAGGCUCCGGUUCUGGCUCUGGUGGAGGAGACGUCCGCAGUCCAUCUCUGUCCAGUGACGAACAGAGCUCAGAGGCCAGUCUGAUCACAGAGACCAGCAGCAGCGGGGGAGGAGGGACACCUCUUCAUCCGGACACACCAGACAACCUGACCCUCGCCGUGCUGGACAGCGUGGCAGGAAAGCGUUACGGACACUGCACAGGUAAGAUAUGAAAAGAGCCACUGUCACUUGAAGCUGUUCAAACUGGCUGU